rnacentral:rRNA from 1 species
ACGAACGCUGGCGGCAUGCCUAAUACAUGCAAGUCGAACGAGAUCUUCGGAUCUAGUGGCGCACGGGUGCGUAACGCGUGGGAAUCUGCCCUUGGGUUCGGAAUAACUUCUGGAAACGGAAGCUAAUACCGGAUGAUGACGUAAGUCCAAAGAUUUAUCGCCCAAGGAUGAGCCCGCGUAGGAUUAGCUAGUUGGUGGGGUAAAGGCCCACCAAGGCGACGAUCCUUAGCUGGUCUGAGAGGAUGAUCAGCCACACUGGGACUGAGACACGGCCCAGACUCCUACGGGAGGCAGCAGUAGGGAAUAUUGGACAAUGGGGGAAACCCUGAUCCAGCUAUGCCGCGUGAGUGAUGAAGGCCUUAGGGUUGUAAAGCUCUUUUACCCGGGAUGAUAAUGACAGUACCGGGAGAAUAAGCUCCGGCUAACUCCGUG